CCUACGGGAGGCAGCAGUGAGGAAUAUUGGUCAAUGGACGAGAGUCUGAACCAGCCAAGUAGCGUGAAGGAUGACUGCCCUAUGAGUUGUAAACUUCUUUUAUAAAGGAAUAAAACGAGGCACGCGUACCUUUCUGCAUGUACUUUAUGAAUAAGGAUCGGCUAACUCCGUGCCAGCAGCCGCGGUAAUACGGAGGAUCCAAGCGUUAUCCGGAUUUAUUGGGUUUAAAGGGUGCGUAGAUGGGUUGUUAAGUUAGUUGUGAAAGUCCGAGGCUCAACCUUAGAAUUGCAAUUGAUACUGGCAGGCUUGAGUACAGUUGAGGUAGGCGGAAUUCGUGGUGUAGCGGUGAAAUGCUUAGAUAUCACACAGAACACCGAUUGCGAAGGCAGCUUACUAAGCUGUGACUGACGUUGAUGCUCGAAAGUGUGGGGAGCAAACAGGAUUAGAUACCCGAGUAGUC
rnacentral:rRNA from 1 species